rnacentral:rRNA from 1 species
UUCCGCGGCAAUAGCGGAGGGGCUACACCUGUUCCCAUACCGAACACAGAAGUAAAGUCCUCCAGCGCCGAAGGUACU